GGCCAGAUAUCUCAGUUGGUAGAGCGCCUGACCAGAGAUUCAGGGGGGUCCAGGUUCAAAUCCCGGUCUGGCCC